rnacentral:piRNA from 1 species
UGCAGAUCUUCGUGAAGACCCUGACGGGC